rnacentral:lncRNA from 1 species
GAGCUGAAGUUUGGGAUUGAAGGUGCAUGGUUCAUUGCCUUUGGACUGUUGCCGUUUUAUUUCUGAUUUUAAAGCUUUGUUUCAUGUUACAAGGGUAUCAAUAGGUGUGUAUUGAGGUGCUUGGUCAACUUGGAAGGUGGGUUUGGCAUGGGUAUCAUUGGAAGUGAGGAUUCCGUCCAUUUUUUGGUGCGUGGUAGCCUGUUUUGGGUCGAAUUUUCAACCAAAUUUGACGAAGUUGUGGUUGGUGGUUGGGUGGAUUGUGAAGAAUGAAUGAAGGCUUUCCGAUGGUAUGGAUAUCUGGUGAUUUGGGCGACGGUUGGUCGGUGUUUAAGUGAUUCAAAGUAGGCUCAAAUAUGGGUGCGAGUGUGGGUGUGGCGGUGGUUGUGACGAGGGUCGAUUAGUUUUGGUGGAGACGGCAGCGACAAUGAGUUUUCUAAUUUUGGGUUCGAUUUUGGUGUGAAGAAGAUAGGUUUGAUUUUUUAUUUUUCUGUUUUUGUUGUUUGAUUUAGUUAUUCCUUAUUUUAUAAAUGUAUUUUUAUUGAAGAAUAUAAAGUUAUUAUAGGAUUGAGGAAAAUGCCUUUACUUAAAAUGGUCAAAAU